rnacentral:lncRNA from 1 species
CUCUUUAAAAGCAGUCAUUCUAAAUAUCUGAGCCGUCUAGCCGCAACAGCAAUUUCAGGAACGACAUUGCCACAAGUAGUGUUUAGAUUUCCUGUCAUGAUCUUGGCAAUUCCAGUUACACGUAUGUGCGCAUAUCAAUCUAAGGAGAAACUCAUGACCACUUUGGAUGCUUGAGCACUCAUCUUCGAGAUGCAAACACAGAA